UUGGAUUGAUGAGGAAAGAGGGGUACACGAUUUUAGCAUAGUAGUGGAUGCAGGAGAUGGAGCCCCGUGGCGGAGACGAGUACGAAGGAAGUUUUACCCACGCGGCGUGCCAGCUGUGAGGGCCGUGGAGUCCGUGAUUGCGUGCAGGAUGGAGCAUGAGGGACCCACGUAUGCCCUCAGUCCGCUACACUACACACUUCCCAUCUCAUUAAUCAUAU
rnacentral:lncRNA from 1 species